UACGGGGGGGGCAAGCGUUGUUCGGAAUUACUGGGCGUAAAGGGUCUGUAGGUGGCCAACUAAGUCCGACGUGAAAUCCCCAGGCUUAACCUGGGAACUGCGUCGGAUACUGGAUGGCUUGAAUCCGGGAGAGGGAUGCAGAAUUCCAGGUGUAGCGGUGAAAUGCGUAGAUAUCUGGAGGAAUACCGGUGGCGAAGGCGGCAUCCUGGACCGGCAUUGACGCUGAAGCGCGAAAGCUAGGGGAGCAAACGGG
rnacentral:rRNA from 1 species